UGGAUUCGAGUGAUGGCUCUGGGUCCACCUCCCACCCGUGUUUAUUUACCUUGUUGCUUCGGCGGGCCCGCCUUAACUGGCCGCCGGGGGGCUCACGCCCCCGGGCCCGCGCCCGCCGAAGACACCCUCGAACUCUGUCUGAAGAUUGUAGUCUGAGUGAAAAUAUAAAUUAUUUAAAACUUUCAACAACGGAUCUCUUGGUUCCGGCAUCGAUGAAGAACGCAGCGAAAUGCGAUACGUAAUGUGAAUUGCAAAUUCAGUGAAUCAUCGAGUCUUUGAACGCACAUUGCGCCCCCUGGUAUUCCGGGGGGCAUGCCUGUCCGAGCGUCAUUGCUGCCCUCAAGCACGGCUUGUGUGUUGGGCCCCGUCCUCCGAUUCCGGGGGACGGGCCCGAAAGGCAGCGGCGGCACCGCGUCCGGUCCUCGAGCGUAUGGGGCUUUGUCACCCGCUCUGUAGGCCCGGCCGGCGCUUGCCGAUCAACCCAAAUUUUUAUCCAGGUUGACCUCGGAUCAGGUAGGGAUACCCGCUGAACUUAAGCAUAUCAAUAGAACGGAAGGA
rnacentral:rRNA from 1 species